GUAAAAAUAAUUCCAUAUACAAACAUUAAGCCUACGGGGAUUUGUAGGAAAAAGGGUAUUUCCACUCCCCAUUUGCUUUGUUUUUAGAAUCCUCUCAACAAUUCCCCGUUCUUCCCUUUCUGAGAUCAUUCUUGUUAUCGCUCCUCUCUCUCUCUCUCUCUCUGAUAUUUGGAGAGCUGAGAGAGUCCUCGAAUUCUCUCACCAAUCUUCUGAUAGGAAUCAAUCCAUGUGGUUUACGAGUGAUCGGCACGAAAUUUACGUGCCCUUUGACCGAAUCUUCGAUCCAAUUCAUCAAAGCUAGGGUUUUUCUAUGCCCAAGCUAGGGUUUUCGUGGUCGAUCACGGGAUCACUUUAUCCUUCUUAAUUAUCCCUGUUUUGGAGCCAGAUUCGCCUUCUGGGUUCUCCGUGAGGCCUCUUCUGGUUUGGAUUCCAUGGCUUUUUACCACCCGGGCCCGGGCUCGGCGUCGAGCUCGAGCUCCGGGCACCACUUCUUGAAUUCCCCCUUUGGGGACACGACCUACACGAAGGUCUUCGUUGGAGGGCUGGCGUGGGAGACCAAGAGCGAGACGAUGCGCCGCUACUUCGAGCAGUUCGGCGAGAUCCUCGAGGCCGUCGUGAUAACUGACAAGAACACCGGGAGGUCGAAGGGCUACGGUUUUGUGACUUUUCGGGACCCAGAAUCUGCAAGAAGAUCAUGCGCAAACCCGAGCCCCGUUAUAGAUGGCAGACAGGCAAAUUGUAACUUGGCUGCACUGGGGCGGCCUCGGCCUGUUCCAGCUUUUGCACGCCCAAGGUCAGCUGGCCCCUACUUUGGAGCCGUUCCAGUUCCAAGAGGGACUUACGUCGGAGGUUCUGCUCAUCACCAACCGAUUCCUUUUGGCUACCAACAAGGGUUUUCAUAUCCACCGUAUGGUUACACCACAUAUGGAUCCGAAUACGUCUAUCCACAGAGUGUCUACGGUCCUUAUAUGGGGCAACAAUACUUUCAACUUUAUGGCAUUCCCGGAACUGUUAACACAGCUAUCUACCCAUUUGGCCAAUUAGGCCAGCCUAUCCCUGGUGGGCAUGGUUAUGCAACAGUUCAAGGCUACACAAUACCAGGCCAUAAUUUCGUGCAGUUCAGUGGGCCAAAUGUCAAUGGAGUGACUACUGCACCUCGACCCACAAUUCAAGCACCAUAUCCAGCAGGCGUAGCAGCACCAAUCCCACCUCCACCUCACUACUUAGUUACUGCUCAUUCUCCACAGUUUACACAGGGCAGUAGCUCAGACCAAACAGCUGGUUGAAAUGUGCAUCAGGGUGAUAACAUCUUGAGGAGGUAUCCUUAGAUUGCAGCAGGACUAAGAACAGCAGAACUGCUAUGUCAGUCGCAUGCAUUCUUGCCUUGCAAGCUAUCAUCUUUGCAUUCUAGAGACAAAAUGUGAUCCACCUUGUAAACUGAAACUUGGAUCAGACUGCAGACAUGUUGUAAUCAAGAAAACGAUGAAACUAGAAUGGAACCUUUUUCUUCAAAAUUCAUUCAUGGUAUGCACCAAAAUUUGUUAUGUCAAACGGAAUCGAGAGUACUGCUGUUAAUGAACAAGUUUAACCCACUUGAGCUAAAGGUCAUAACAGCUAAUGACAAAGUAUUUGAUUGUCAGUACAGCUAGAUUUUUGCUGCUGUGUGAUUGUCCAAUAUUGUAGGUGUGAAGUCAGGAGGAUCUGGAAGGGGAUUUGCAUAGGAGCAAGAAGUGAGGAAGAUGAAUUGGAAAGACAUGGGAGGGAAACAAAGAUUGGGAAAGGGAAUGGCUAGUUGGAGAGAGGACAGAGGAAUAAAAGAGGAAAGGAGUUGCCUUUCAUCUGAUGUGAUUUUUAAAAAGUUACCUUUUAUAUGGUUUUCCCUAGUCAUGGUCACCAGAGAGACACCAGUCAUCUAGUUGCUCCGAUGGAUGGAGUUAACUCGUGAGAGCUUGGAUUGCUCAUCUCGCUGCUGUCAAGUGUCUGUAAAAUUUCAUGCCCUGCUGGAAUUUGUGAUGACCGGUGGAGCAUGGACGGAUGGAUCCCAAAAUUGGAUCCAACAACUUGGUAGAAUACAUUAUGGAUGCCGGAAUUGGAGUCCGAUAAUCCAUAUGGUGUAUAGUGUGAGCCACCAUGGAAUCAAAACGAUUCUUUGGAAUUCCGAAGCUUGCAUCUCAUUGUGCAGAGUCAUGUUUGUUGUGGUUCCUGGGUGGAUUGGUCUUUCAUUGUAGUAAACCAUGAUCUUGCAGAUGCAUAUCAGUGGUUGUCGGUGGACUAACAUUGGCUAGUUUUUCUAAACAGACCGGUAAUCAAAUGAAGGGCCUCAAAAACUUGAUGCUGGCUCAUUGGUUAUAUGUUUGGAACUCUCGAGUCUUCUUCGCCUUCCUCCCAAUCUAAAUUUGUGCGGUUAUGCUGUUGUGAUGUUGGGAUGCUGUGCAAAGUUAUAUCUACCAGUGUUUGGGUUUGCCAUGAAAUGUUGGAUGGGUUCAAUAAAAUAGACUCACUGUAAGUUUAUCGGUACGUUCACAGAAGCUUCUGCAGUUCCUGACCAAAUUGGUGCCUAUGCAGGCAGGAGCCAUCUCGAGCUGUUUCCAAGACCGGAAAUCCAAGUGGUUCUUGUAUGCUUCAUCACCACAACAGAGGCGGAGCAAAAGACUGAUCCUAGGCUGCUGGUAUUCAGCACAAUCUCAGUGCCCAGCCCCGACGCAGUGCUUGUGCUUGCUAGUAGUAAACUCUAUCAAUGAUGAAGGAUUUGGGCGAGGCUGUAGUCUAUUGGACUGGUGCGAUUGAACGUAUUCAUAGAUCAGAUAACAACCAAAAUGUCAGGAGAAAGGCGAGGUAUUAAUGAUCUCCAGCUGCAGAUUUAAAACCUUGUCCUUUUUGGAAUUCAAGUGAAAUGAUAUAAAUGAUGAGAGGUAGGAUAAGUGGUUGUGUCGUUGAGGUGGAGAACCCCCCGUCCUCGUUUUAGGCAAGCCUCGGAUUGUUCUUGUUCCAUGCCGUGUUGAAGUGAGUGGAGAUCUGCACACAGCUGAUGUAAGAAGCUCCACGUUUCCUGGCAAAUGCUGUCUCCAUUAAAAUUUCAGUGUUCAAUCUGGAGCAGCCAUGUAAAUUUGAUCUGACAUUUAGCUCAUAUGAUAAGUUUUUAUAAUAAAUUCUUAUAAUAACUUAUUGUUUAAGAAAAAGAAAAAAAGAAAAAACAAA